rnacentral:tRNA from 1 species
GCCUGGCUGGCUCAGUCAGUAGAGCAUUCGACUCUUGAUCUCAGGGCGGUGAGUUUAAGCCCCACGUUGGGCG